rnacentral:rRNA from 1 species
AGAACGAACGCUGGCGGCAUGCCUAACACAUGCAAGUCGAACGUGAUCCAGGCUUCGGCCUGGUGAAAGUGGCAGACGGGUGAGUAACGCGUGGGAACCUGCCCUGUGGUAGGGAAUAACCGUGGGAAACUGCGGCUAAUACCCUAUGAGUCCUUCGGGAGAAAGAUUUAUCGCCAUAGGAGGGGCCCGCGUCGGAUUAGGUAGUUGGUGGGGUAACGGCCUACCAAGCCUUCGAUCCGUAGCUGGUCUGAGAGGAUGAUCAGCCACACUGGGACUGAGAUACGGCCCAGACUCCUACGGGAGGCAGCAGUGGGGAAUAUUGGACAAUGGGGGCAACCCUGAUCCAGCAAUGCCGCGUGGAUGAUGAAGACCUUCGGGUUGUAAAGUCCUUUCGGCGGGAAGAUGAUGACGGUACCGCAGAGAAACCCGGCUAACUUCGUGCCAGCAGCCGC